rnacentral:ncRNA from 1 species
AGAGUAAAAACUCAGGCGUCAAGUGCCGACCGGACGGGGAGUUGCCGAUCGGACGAAAGCUCAUCACGGCUUUGCCGUGUAAGGCUACGGUCUGUGUUUUGCAUCCCGCU